rnacentral:rRNA from 1 species
AGCGAACGCUGGCGGCAUGCUUAACACAUGCAAGUCGCGCGGGUGGUUUCGGCCAUCAGCGGCGGACGGGUGAGUAUCGCGUAGGAAUGUAUCCCGAGGUGGGGGACAACCCUGGGAAACUGGGGCUAAUACCGCAUGGGGCCUGUGGGUCAAAGCCUUAGGGCGCCUUGGGAGCAGCCUGCGUCCGAUUAGGUAGGUGGUGGGGUAAAGGCCUACCAAGCCUGCGAUCGGUAGCUGGUCUGAGAGGACGAUCAGCCACACUGGGACUGAGACACGGCCCAGAAUCCUACGGGAGGCAGCAGUGGGGAAUAUUGGACAAUGGGCGCAAGCCUGAUCCAGCAAUGCCGCGUGGGUGAAGAAGGUCGUCGGAUUGUAAAGCCCUUUCGGCGGGGACGAUGAUGACGGUACCCGCAGAAGAAGCCCCGGCUAACUUCGUG